GGAGGGGGGGAAAGAGGAGCGUUGCGCAUGCGCAGAGCCUCGUGCAGCCGUUCCCUGGCGGCCGUUAGGAGGCGCUGAGGUAAACACAGCCCUGCUGAGGGAACUGUGUGCAGUCAAACCAUCCUUGAUGGCUGUAAAAUGCGUCCCUGAUAAUUGUGGGGACGGUCAAGGUGACCUGCAUUUAGAGGACAUCUGCUGGCUCUUCACAGUAUUCUGCUGGCAGUGACACUCAGCAAAAAAGGGCCACAUCACAUGGAGGAUGACUCAGAGACAUCAUCCCUCCCCACUUCGUGAACAGGGGAGAUGGCUGUGCUUUUGAAGAAAGCUUUAGAAAACAUGACAAGGUUUGGAUCAGGAUUCCCCGUCAUUAAUCCCCUGAGAGCUGAGCUCUGUGUCCCAGUGAGAAUCCAUCCAAGUUGAGGAACUUCCCUCUUGAAGCAAACAAAUUUGCAAGGUAAGACAGCAUUGCUCAGAGUAUAAUUUGCAUUUUGAGCUAUAACAAUAUUUCUUUUCCAUAUUCCGUUUGUACAAAGCUAGACUCCUGAAAAUGUUUAAACUAUUUCAUAAAUGUUUCUAGCUUUAUGUAUAGCAAGAAUUAAGUUUACAGGGUGAUGACUUAGCUACACAGCACACAAUCUAAUAGCAUUAGACAUAUUCUAACAAGUAGAAGCUCUCCCAAGCAGUGCACAGUAACAAUUAUCAAGUAAAUAAUGAAAAGUAAGAAGAUGAAGAGACACUUCUGCUUGAGGGACAUAACACAAGAACUUCAAGCAUUAGACUAAAAACAGACGUAAUUUCACUUGUGAGAUUAUCUACAAACAUUUUUGAGAUCAGAAUCCAUGCUAGUGCCAUCUUAAUUGCUAAAAUGUUAAUUAAUUGGGAUUUUUUUAAACACAGAAUAGAAACAUUGGUACCUGAAUCUAAGAUUUUCAAUGUGCAUCUUAAUAAUUCCGUCAGUUACCACCAAAAUCACCGUGUUCUGAACGACACUGAAAAUUUUGACUGAAGUGACGAGCAGUUACAUGAACCUCACAAAGUUAUUAAUCACUGAAGUGAAAAAGGCAGACUUCAUUACCUUCAACAAUCAGCUACACAGAAAACCAUGCUCACUUUUAAAGAUGCUAAAUACAAAAUGUUAUCAACACGCUACCAUGAAUUACCAACCAUUCUGAGAGAAAGAACGGCACAGUUCUUGGCCAAAUGUAGCGAGUUUAUGAAGCAGAACCAAGAGAUCAUUUAUUUACCAGUUUACCCACUUUGGACAUUAAAAUCUGUUUGUACCUGUCUUUGAAAGCGUAGUUUAAAGCCUCUGCUGGAAAACAGUGCAUAACAUUGACUGAAUUUACAGAACUGAAAAAAAUCCUACAGAAAAAGAAAUGGAUUCUUAAAAUAAACAUCCACAGUUUGUAUUACAUGGAGUUUGUUAUACAACAUUCCUUCUACUGUUUCUACUUGCAUGAGGUAUAACAAUGGUUAGAAAUAUUCCUUUUCAGGUCUUUUAUUUUUCAGGCAUUUGGUGCUGGAAAUCUGGAUUUAUUCUGAUGGGUACCAAUAACAGAUGUAUGUGUUCAGUGUUAGCACAAGAAACUAUAAAUGCAAGUGCUGUGGAAUAGGGCACAUUUUCAGCUUCCUUCCAUAAAUGUCCAUCAACUUCUGUACCUCUCUAGGAAUAGAGAUGCCUGCAUCGACUGCAGUCUGGAUACAGUAAAAAAAACUGUCAAGAGAAACCACAGAACGUCUGACUCUUUUUAACCUAUGUCCUUUUCUGGAAGGAGCCUGCCUAUACAGGUUAGCUUCCAUAGGGGGUGCUCCAGCUCCAUACCAAAUCAAUAAAAAACGGUUCAUUCACACCAGAAACUGUGCAGGGCUUUUGUGAUGAUAUUCUUCUUCUAGGUCAAAACCAGGAUUCCUCUGGAUGCUAAUGUAAAUGCACUAAGUUAAAUGGUGCUGAGGACAUAACACAGGAAAAAAAUCUUACAUGAGCCAUGAGAAAUGCAUAUGCUUUUUGCCAUUGUUGCCCCUGUUCCAUGCCUGGUUCCCACUGGUGCUGAUCAGCAAUGGUGAGCAGCAGUGAGAUUGAACUUCGUAACACACAGCCAUGCACUUCACUUAAAUAUCCUGUUGUGCUUUUGUGGGUGAAGGCAAAUACAACUUAAGGGCAAAGAAAAAUCAAGCCAAGGUAUUCCUUUCUUAGUCCGAGUACUCUUUCAUUCAUAUCAACGUGGGUAUGCCAAAUAACUGCUGCUUCUGAGAAACCAUCAGAAGGAAGAUGUCCACAACCACCAAUACGCAUAAUUUUGCUGCUUCAUCACAUGAAAGUGUGCUGACUUUGUGGCUGCAGGUUUGUUUUUCAGAUCAACAAGAAUCCUGAAGUGAAUUGCACGUUCUCCCUACCUCCUCCCCACUUAACAGCCCUCCUCUGUUGGCUUGCCAUCACUGUGGCUGCAGAGAUGUUCUUGAAAAUGUUUCUUUUCCUAACCAUAGUGGUGAAACAGAAUGGCCGGGUCUGUACCUUGUUCUCUCUGGAUGCACACAAAGCAGUCGACUGUAACCCUGCACCACUGGCUCUGCCUGGAGCUGCUUCUCAGUGUCUUUUAAUUUUUUCCACAGAAAUCUCUCAGAUAACCUGAUUUGUAGAUGGAGAAUAGAGAUGUAAAAGCAUUACUGAUGCAACUCAGCUCUGUACAUCUCAAACUGAUAUGUUGUCAUGAAGGAACCAUCAAUUUUGGAAAGGGCUGAUUAACAAAACCUUCCAUCAUACACUUAAACUUCAGGCUUAAGACUUCUACUGCGUGAAAUUAAAGCAACUACAGAAUGAUUUAAACCAAGCUGUGAAUGACCCAGUGAGCGUGAGCAGUCAAAGGCAUUUAAAGGAUCAGUUUAGAAUUACUCUGAGUGCAAUUUGCUAGUUGAAACAUGCUAAGGAUUUGAUCGUGAGAACCUAAAGAAUGGAAUUUACUUUCCUAAAUACAUAGAUAUAUUUUUUCUUUUGAUCCCAUUGUUAGCAAGUAGAGGCAGCGAAAGGAAAAAAAAAGUUGCACUAUUGAUGAAGGAUGCGAUAGGGCACUGUGCAAAUGUCCAAAUCUAAAUGUGCUGGCUGGGGGUAAAAAUAAA